rnacentral:rRNA from 1 species
UACAGAGGUGGCAAGCGUUGUUCGGAAUUACUGGGCGUAAAGGGCGCGUAGGCGGCUUGGUCAGUCCCGUGUGAAAUCCCUCGGCUCAACUGAGGAACUGCACGGGAAACUGCCUGGCUUGAGUUCGGGAGAGGGAAGCGGAAUUCCGGGUGUAGCGGUGAAAUGCGUAGAGAUGUGGAGGAACACCGAUGGCGAAGGCAGCCCCCUGGGUCAACACUGACGCUCAUGCACGAAAGCGUGGGGAGCAAACAGG